rnacentral:rRNA from 1 species
UACGUAGGGCGCAAGCGUUGUCCGGAAUUAUUGGGCGUAAAGAGCUCGUAGGCGGUCUGUCGCGUCUGCCGUGAAAACCCGAGGCUUAACCUCGGGCUGGCGGUGGAUACGGGCAGACUAGAGGUAGGUAGGGGAGAAUGGAAUUCCCGGUGUAGCGGUGAAAUGCGCAGAUAUCGGGAGGAACACCGGUGGCGAAGGCGGGUCUCUGGGCCGAUAUUGACGGCUGAGAGCGAAAGCGUGGGGAGCGAACAGGAUU